rnacentral:rRNA from 1 species
GAUGAACGCUGGCGGCGUGCCUAAUACAUGCAAGUCGAGCGAACAGACGAGGAGCUUGCUCCUCUGACGUUAGCGGCGGACGGGUGAGUAACACGUGGAUAACCUACCUAUAAGACUGGGAUAACUUCGGGAAACCGGAGCUAAUACCGGAUAAUAUAUUGAACCGCAUGGUUCAAUAGUGAAAGACGGUUUUGCUGUAACUUAUAGAUGGAUCCGCGCCGCAUUAGCUAGUUGGUAAGGUAACGGCUUACCAAGGCAACGAUGCGUAGCCGACCUGGGAGGGUGAUCGGCCACACUGGACCUGAGACACGGUCCAGACUCCUACGGGAGGCAGCAGUCGGGAAUCUUCCGCAAUGGGCGAAAGCCUGACGGAGCAACGCCGCGUGAGUGAGGAAGGUCUUCGGAUCGUAAAACUCUGUUAUUAGGGAAGAACAAAUGUGUAAGUAACUAUGCACGUCUUGACGGUACCUAAUCAGAAAGCCACGGCUAACUACGU